rnacentral:lncRNA from 1 species
UGGGCCUUUCCUUCGCCCCGGGCGUAGCAAGGCCGGGCCCUGAGAGCGUGCCCGCAGUGCUGGCUGAGGGCUGAUGCCCCUGGAACGUUUGAGAAGGCUGGCAGAGGCGUGGAGUCCGUGCAGCAGGCUGCCGAAGGCUUUCCAGGCUCCCGGGGUGGGGUCGGCAGGGGCAGAGAGGACAGUUCGGGAGGCUGGUGUGGAGAAGAGCUGCGGCG